UACAGAGGGUGCUAGCGUUGUUCGGAAUCAUUGGGCGUAAAGCGCGUGUAGGCGGUCCGGUAAGUCCGCUGUGAAAGUCGGGGGCUCAACCCUCGAAUGCCGGUGGAUACUGUCGGGCUAGAGUGCGGAAGAGGCGAGUGGAAUUCCUGGUGUAGCGGUGAAAUGCGCAGAUAUCAGGAGGAACACCAAUUGCGAAGGCAGCUCGCUGGGACGUUACUGACGCUGAGGCGCGAAAGCGUGGGGAGCAAACAGG
rnacentral:rRNA from 1 species